rnacentral:rRNA from 1 species
GACGAACGCUGGCGGCGUGCUUAACACAUGCAAGUCGAACGGAAAAGCUCUGCUUGUGGGGGGUCCUUGGCGAGCGAACGGGUAAGUAACAGGCAACCUACCUGCCCCUGUCGUUUGGAUAACAUCAAGUAAGUGGAACUAAUACUAUGUAGGCUGACCGGCUGGACUGUGGGGGGUGGGAUGUUUCGGCGGUUGGGGAUGGACCCGCGGCUUAUCAGCUUGUUGGUGGGGUAGUGGCUUACCAAGGCGUUGACGGGUAGCCGGCCUGAGAGGGUGACCGGCCACACUGGGACUGAGAUACGGCCCAGACUCCUACGGGAGGCAGCAGUGGGGAAUAUUGCGCAAUGGGCGGAAGCCUGAUGCAGCGACGCCGCGUGGGGGAUGACGGCCUUCGGGUUGUAAACCGCUUUCGCCAGUGACGAAGCGAAAGUGACGGUAACUGGAGAAGAAGCACCGGCUAACUACGUG